rnacentral:ncRNA from 1 species
AGAUAGAGGCGCGGGCUUCAAGAUUAGCUUCCGGCAAGGACAGGCAUCCGCCGGCAGGGAAAGGGGAGACCGCCGAAGCAGGGCAAAGGUGCCUGAUUUUGUACUGCUGGGCCGUCGGGAAAUACCCGGCGGACUGUCACAAAAGUUUUGUGAAGCGCUAUUG